UACAGAGGGGGCAAGCGUUGUUCGGAUUUACUGGGCGUAAAGAGCGCGCAGGCGGUCGUUCAAGUCGAGUGUGAAAGCCCCCGGCUCAACUGGGGAGGGUCACUCGAUACUGAUCGACUCGAAGGCAGGAGAGGGAAGUGGAAUUCCCGGUGUAGUGGUGAAAUGCGUAGAUAUCGGGAGGAACACCAGUGGCGAAGGCGACUUCCUGGCCUGUUCUUGACGCUGAGGCGCGAAAGCGUGGGGAGCGAACAGG
rnacentral:rRNA from 1 species